rnacentral:rRNA from 1 species
CCUACGGGAGGCAGCAGUGAGGAAUAUUGGUCAAUGGGCGUAAGCCUGAACCAGCCAAGUCGCGUGAGGGAUGAAGGUUCUAUGGAUCGUAAACCUCUUUUACAAGGGAAUAAAGUGUGGGACGUGUCCUAUUUUGUAUGUACCUUAUGAAUAAGGAUCGGCUAACUCCGUGCCAGCAGCCGCGGUAAUACGGAGGAUCCGAGCGUUAUCCGGAUUUAUUGGGUUUAAAGGGUGCGUAGGCGGCCUUUUAAGUCAGCGGUGAAAGUCUGUGGCUCAACCAUAGAAUUGCCGUUGAAACUGGGGGUCUUGAGUAUGUUUGAGGCAGGCGGAAUGCGUGGUGUAGCGGUGAAAUGCUUAGAUAUCACGCAGAACCCCGAUUGCGAAGGCAGCCUGCCGCAGCGUUACUGACGCUGAAGCUCGAAAGCGCGGGUAUCGAACAGGAUUAGAUACCCGAGUAGUC